AUAUAUAUAUAUAUAUAUAUAUAUUUACAAGUAUUCAGACCCUUUACUCAGUACUUUGUUGAAGCACCUUUGGCAGCGAUUACAGCCUCCAGUCUUCUUGUGUAUAACGCUUGGCACCUCUGUAUUUGAGGAGUUUCUCCCAUUCUUCUCUGCAGAACCUCUCAAGCUCUAUCAGGUUGGAUGGGGAGCAUCGCUGCACAGCUAUUUUCAGAUCUCUCCAGAGAAGUUAGAUGAAGUUCAAGUCAGGGCUCUGGCUGGGCCACUCAAGGACCACUCCUGCGUUGUCUUGGCUGUGUGUUUAGGGCCAUUGUUCAGUUGGAAGGUGAACCUUCACCCCAGUCUGAGGUCCUGUGCACUCUGGAGCAGGUUUUCAUCAAGGAUCUCUCUGUACUUUCCUUCGCUCAUCUUUCCCUCGCUCCUGACUAGUCUCCCAGUCCCUGCCGCUGAAAAACAUCCCCACAGCAUGAUGCUGCCACCACCAUGCUUCACCGUAGGGAUGGUGCCAGGUUUCCUCCAGACGUGACGCUUGGCAUUCAGGGCAAAGAGUUCAAUCUUGGUUGGGGCGGCAGGGUAGCCUAGUGGUUAGAGCGUUGGACUAGUAACCGGAAGGUUGCAAGUUCAAACCCCUGAGCUGAAAAGGUUGUUGUUCUCUCCCUGAACAGGCAGUUAACCCACUGUUCCUAGAUCAGUUAACCCACUGUUCCUAGAUCAGUUAACCCACUGUUCCUAGAUCAGUUAACCCACUGUUCCUAGAUCAGUUCUUAGGCUGUCAUUGAAAAUAAUAAUUUGUUCUUAACUGACUUGCCUAGUUAAAUAAAAGGUAACAAUUUGACCAGAGAAUCUUGUUUCUCAUGGUCUGAGUCCUUUCGGUUCUUUUUGGCAAACUCAGGCUGUCAUGUGCCUUUUACUGAGGAGUGGCUUCCGUCUGGUCGCUCUACCAUAAAGGCCUGAUUGGUGGAGUGCUGCAGAGAUGGUUGUCCUUCUGGAAGGUUCUCCCAUUUCCACAGAGGAACUCUGGAGCUCUGUCAGUGACCAUCGUGUUAUUGGUCACCUUCCUGACCAAGGCCCUUCCCCCCCGAUUGCUCAGUUUGGUCGGCCAACCAGCUCUAGGAAAAGUUUUGCUGGUUCCAAACUUCUUCCAUUUAAGAAUGACGGAGGCCACUGCUUUCUUGGGGACCUUCAAUGCUGCAGAACUGUUUU
ensembl:lncRNA